rnacentral:lncRNA from 1 species
UGGGUUGGGGUGGGUUUGCCCGUCUUGACAGCUUUAGUCCUUGGGCCAUUCGAUCGCAUCUCAUGAAGCCUCAUCCACAUGUCCGAACCUCCUGAUCAACUCUGGACCAUCCGAUCCAUGUCCGGCAUUGAUUACAAUCAUUGGAUUGCGCAGUCAAUCCAUGGAGAAGCCCAUAGACCAAGAGAAAUCCUCUAGAAAAUAACAUCGAUCCACCAUAGACUGCACAAAACCCAGGAAAAAUGGUCG